AUAUAUUUAUAAUUUAUUAUACACAGCAAGCGAGGUGAGUAAGCAGACUCUUAUUUUGAAAUCACGCUGGCCAAGUUUAUGCCAUUUGAUCUAUUCCUGUUAGUAAUUAUUGAUUUAUUCCUACUAUUAUUCGUAAGAUAUUUAAUUCCGCACUAUUACUUUUUCAAAUGUGUGUGUCGCUUGCUUAUUCCAUUUGCAUUGUUGUAAUUUUAUUUCCGUUUUAUCGAGCCAGAUCUGAGCUGGUGGGUGUGGACGGGGACUCUUAUUCUGAAGUGUGUGUAGGCGCUGGUGUGAUAGCGGAAGUUCGUGCCGCUGAUAGCUGCAGUUCAGGCGGAUCCCGUCAGUGUCUGAUCACAAACUUUCUGUCAAACCCGAAAAACACACGGAAUCCGGCUGAGGAUGUGAACAGGACUCUGGAAGGAGGCCGGAAGCCGCUUCAUUACGCUGUGGACUGCGGUCAGGCCGAGAUGGUGGAGUUUCUGCUAUCUAAAGGAGCCGAUGUGAACGUAAGUGUCCUCCAGUGCUG
ensembl:lncRNA